rnacentral:rRNA from 1 species
UGGGGGAUAUUGCACAAUGGGCGAAAGCCUGAUGCAGCGACGCCGCGUGGGGGAUGAAGGCCUUCGGGUUGUAAACUUCUUUUGCUCUGAACAAGGCGCACCAUGGGGUGUGUUGAGUGUAGGGGUUGAUUAGCGCCGGCUAACUACGUGCCAGCAGCCGCGGUAAUACGUAGGGCGCGAGCGUUGUCCGGAAUUAUUGUGCGUAAAGGGCUUGUAGGUGGCUGGUUGCGUCUGUCGUGAAAGCUCAUGGCUUAACUGUGGGUUUGCGGUGGGUACGGGCUGGCUUGAGUGCAGUAGGGGAGGCUGGAAUUCCUGGUGUAGCGGUGGAAUGCGCAGAUAUCAGGAGGAAUACCGGUGGCGAAGGCGGGUCUCUGGGCUGUUACUGACACUGAGGAGCGAAAGCAUGGGGAGCGAACAGG